rnacentral:ncRNA from 2 species
AAUGAUGGUUUGGUUACUUCUCAUUAUAGUUUUUAUGGGACUUUUUGUCUGCAUUCAAAAAGCUCUAUAAUCUCUACAGUAGUUUUACCCACUACAGAAAUUAUAGAGCC